rnacentral:misc_RNA from 1 species
GGACUACUGGGGUUUCUAAUCCCGUUCGCUCCCCUGGCCUUCGUGCCUCAGCGUCAGAUACUGUCCAGACAUCCGCCUUCGCCACUAGUGUUCCUCACGAUAUCCACGCAUUUCACUGCUCCACCGUGAAUUCCGAUGUCCCCUCCAGUUCUCAAGCGCGGGAGUAUCAAAGGCAGUUCCGGAGUUGAGCUCCGGGAUUUCACCUCUGACUUUCCGCGCCGCCUACGCACCCUUUACGCCCAGUGAUUCCGAACAACGCUUGAGGCCUCUGUAUUACCGCGGCGGCUGGCACCC